UAUUCUUUUAUUAGAACA
rnacentral:tRNA from 1 species